UCCAUAACCCCUGCUGUCUCCUAACUCUUGUCUAACUCGUCUAGCAGCUUACUGGCAGUUUGGUGUCAAUCUCUUAUAAAAUUUGUCAUCCAUCAGCCUCCUUAGCUUUUAGUGAAGGCUUGAAUUAGAAUAUCUAACUUCAGAGGUAAAGGUUUCCGUUUCUCCAACAUCAUUUUGUUUCGUUUAACAAGUAGCAAGAGCAUGAGUUGAAGCUAUUUAAAACAAGUCCUGAUUUAUAAAGCAAAGUCACAUUGGGCUAGCUACUGUAUCCAUCGAGGGGGAAUCGAACCCCUGAUUUUAGCGUUGUAUGUCCCACCGGCGGACGGACAUUACUAAAAGAAAGUAAUCUGGAGUACACGUGAAGCCUAUUUCCAUGGGGGAAUCAAACGAGAGCCAUCUAGUGAGACUGAUCAAUACAACCACUGCGGACGCAUUCGACAACUUACCACCAGGGCAUAAGGAUAUCCUGGAGAUGCACGCUAACAGCCAAUCAAAUGCCAUCGUUUAUGUGAUGGUGGUGUUACUUUUGUAUGCCGUAGCGUUAGUAGUGGUGGUGAUAAAAUAUGUUAGAAGAGAACGGUGUGAGUCCCGUCUCACAAAUCUCUACGAUACAUUCAUUGGGAGAGAUAUGUUUGUCCGACUGUCUAAACGACAGUCGUCAGUUCCAACAGCAACAACGGCCCCCAUUCUAGAUGGCGUGGAUGAUAGCCAAACACCUAAUCCUUCGUCUAAUCGUUGCGUUCCAAUCAAGACGGCAGAUGAAGCAGUGAGUAAAGUAUAAAGAGAAGAGAAACGUGGGUUGUACGAGUAUGUUAGUUACUGUACCGACAGCCAAAUAUAUACUACACAUAUAUCUGUGGUAAAAGUAACUAAUUACUUACGGUAAGGUAAUAGUCCUCGAAUUAAACACAUUUUAUACAAAUCAUCACUGCUAAUUUAUGCAGACUGAAGCUUCAACAUUUGACAGUACACGUUUAAAUACUCACAGAAAUGAGUCCAUUUGAGUUUGACCUGAAAACUUUUUUUUAGGUUUUAAAUGAAAUAAAAAAUAAUAAUUAAAUCACGUACAUGCGUCACACCUAACUCGGAGUAGGCCCUGAAGCGCAGCAUUUUUUUUUUAAUACUCAACAAACAAUGUCGGUAAAAACCUUUGUGGUGAGUCAAAAUAUAUAAUGAUCUUGAUACAAUUAUUUGCAAGUAUAGCAUACCAGCACUAAAAUUAGUACGGAAACGCCGUAUCAAACAAUAUCGUCUUAUUUUCACUACAUACAUACACACACAUAUGUAUAUACAGUUAAUGUUUUCAAUAACAUUUACAAUAGGGUUAAGAACACCAACAUGUUUAAAAGUCGAACAAAAACACGAGCUGAUUGAACGCCGUAAGCUAAGGAGUUAAGAUUUUGUAAACGACUGAUACAAAAGUUCGGACGAGAAGGCUAGUGUUCCUGAUAUAUCCACAUUUUGACAUCUGAGCCUUUAUUGGUUUCUAACUCCAAUCUGUCGGUUGGCUUAUAUGGUUGUUAAAAGUAACAAUCCUCUUUUUUGAGGACAUUUAGUUUCGCCACUUUUUUUUCAGUAAAACUUUCGCUCAACAAUAGUCCUUAUGUGAUAGUUAAAUGUUAUUGUUGUCGUCUUUAGAAUUAUUGUUAAUUUUGUUAACGUCUAGGAUCCUUAUCUCUGGAAAAAUCAUCUUUAAAGCAGUUCUCAUAUACUGAGCAUAUGUAUGUACUCUCAAUCCAGCUCAAUGAACAAAAAAAUAUAUUCUUAAUACCAGUUUCCGUCUAUUGUAUGUAUUCUCAAUCCAGCUAAUGAGAAAAAGUCAUAUUUAUAACAGUUCCUAGCCAAAAUAUAAUCUUAAUACCAGUUCCCAACCACUUAGCGCAUGUUGACAUUCUCAACCCAGCUACAAAAAUUGUAAUAUCAAAAUGCAACAAAGUAAAAUAUGUCAAACCCAAAAAAGGCACGUGACUCUGUUUAUAGGCAUGUAACCUAAUAACGAGAUUACAUACUUAAGAUUUGUAAAGUUCGCUUCAAGAUUGUAUUGGUUUGUCUAAUACAAUACAAGUUCGUAAUGAGUUUGUAAAUUUUAAAAGAAAACAAUCAUGUAGAUUAAAAAAGUUUUACGUUGAUGAACACAAAAGCAAAAAAAAAAUAAUAUAUAUAUAGGAAACAAUGUUUCUGCAACGUAUUUUGUAUCAGGCUUUUUGUUUGGCUAAUAGAAAUGUCAUAUAUUCUUCUCAACUGUGUGUAUGUGUGUGUGUACUAUGUUAUACACUAACAAAAUCAUCUGUUUAUUGUUGAAUAUUUGUUGGAAACUCAAUAUUUCAAAAUAUUAAUAU